rnacentral:lncRNA from 1 species
AAGAAUGGAUUAAUGUGUUAGGGUUACCUCUUCUCCUCCUCUCCUCCCGAUCGACCCAACUCUCGCCAUUCUCUACCUUUUCCUCUCCUCCCGACCCAACUCUCGCCAUAUUUUUUUUUCUCAGACCCCACAAAAAAAAAAAAAAAAUUUCUCCCUCAUUUUCUUUCACCCCCAGAGCAUUGUUGAGCCCGCUCCUCCAUCUCCUUCGCCCCAGAUCAUUCUCAAACCCGCUUCUCCAUCUCUGGUGACUAUUAGGUUUAUAUUAUUUAUCUUUUUUUUUUUUUCAUAUUUUUUUUCUUCAAUCCUUCCUUCUUUCUCUAACCAUUCAUCUUCUUCGAUCUCAGAUCUCGCAUUCCAUUUCCAUCUCCUUCCCUAUCGCAGUUGACAAGGUUUGCAAAUAAAUUUUUUCGUCUCUGAUUUACUGCAGUUUUUUUUUUCUUUACUGCAAUUUUUAACAUUUUUAUUUACUGCAGUUUCAAAUUUUUUUAAUUUACUGCUAUUUUUAUUUUUUUGCUCUGAUUAUUAAAGUUUAAGAU